rnacentral:rRNA from 1 species
GGACUACAAGGGUUUCUAAUCCUGUUUGCUCCCCACGCUUUCGCACCUCAGCGUCAAUAUGUGUCCAGUAAGUCGCCUUCGCCACUGGUGUUCUUCCGAAUAUCUACGAAUUUCACCUCUACACUCGGAAUUCCACUUACCUCUCCACAAUUCUAGCGAUAUAGUUUUAAGGGCAAUUCCGGAGUUGAGCCCCGGGCUUUCACCCCUAACUUAUAAAGCCGCCUACGUGCGCUUUACGCCCAGUAAUUCCGAACAACGCUAGCCCCCUCCGUAUUACCGCGGCUGCUGGCAC